rnacentral:rRNA from 1 species
CCUGACCUCGGAUCAGACGUGAUUACCCGCUGAACUUAAGCAUAUCACUAAGCGGAGGAAAAGAAACUAACAAGGAUUCCCUCAGUAACGGCGAGUGAACAGGGAAGAGCCCAGCACCGAAGCCUGUGGCCAGUUGGUCACUAGGCCAAUGUGGUGUUCAGGUCGUUCCGCGGAGGUGCUGCUCCAUUCCAAGUCCAGCAAUGAGUACGGUAAUGCUGACAUGGCCCAAAGAGGGUGAAAGGCCCGUUGGGGUGGAGAGGCAGAAAUGACAGCACCUUCCUGGAUAGACCUUGGAGUCGGGUUGUUUGUGAAUGCAGCCCAAAGUGGGUGGUAAACUCCAUCCAAGGCUAAAUACUUGCACGAGUCCGAUAGCGAACAAGU